GUCAAACACAGGCGCCUCCUACCACAGGGAACUUUAGCCCCAGCCCUGAGACCAGAUCAGACAGAGGACGACACAGGAAGGUGUGCAGCCUGGUGGUAAGGCAGCUGUGUCAGGAGGUUUUGAGGGAGACAGAACAGCCUAGCCUGCUCCUGCCCUGUGAGCUGGGGGAGCUGAGAACGGAUGUGAAUGGCAAAAGUCACUGGUCAGUAGACUCUCGGAAGCUCUGCCUGUUGACAUCCUAUCAGUAAUAAUGGAGGGUACCACUCUCGCCUGGAGGAUCUCCGUCACUGACAAUGAG